GCCCCUAUCGUCUAGCGGUUAGGACAUCAGAUUCUCAUUCUGGUAACAUGGGUUCGAUUCCCGUUAGGGGUGCCA
rnacentral:tRNA from 1 species